UACGUAGGGUGCAAGCGUUGUCCGGAAUUAUUGGGCGUAAAGAGCUCGUAGGCGGUUUGUCGCGUCUGCUGUGAAAACUCGGGGCUUAACCCCGGGCCUGCAGUGGGUACGGGCAGACUAGAGUGCGGUAGGGGAGACUGGAAUCCCUGGUGUAGCGGUGAAAUGCGCAGAUAUCAGGAGGAACACCGGUGACGAAGGCGGGUCUCUGGGCCGUAACUGACGCUGAGGAGCGAAAGCAUGGGGAGCGAACAGG
rnacentral:rRNA from 1 species